rnacentral:rRNA from 1 species
UACGUAGGGUGCGAGCGUUGUCCGGAAUUAUUGGGCGUAAAGGGCUCGUAGGCGGUUUGUCGCGUCGGGAGUGAAAACCCAGGGCUUAACUCUGGGCUUGCUUUCGAUACGGGCAGACUAGAGGUAUGCAGGGGAGAACGGAAUUCCUGGUGUAGCGGUGAAAUGCGCAGAUAUCAGGAGGAACACCGGUGGCGAAGGCGGUUCUCUGGGCAUUACCUGACGCUGAGGCGCGAAGGCGUGGGGAGCGAACGGG